rnacentral:rRNA from 1 species
UACGUAGGGUGCAAGCGUUAAUCGGAAUUACUGGGCGUAAAGCGUGCGCAGGCGGUUUUGUAAGUCUGUCGUGAAAGCCCCGGGCUUAACCUGGGAAUGGCGAUGGAUACUGGCGAGCUAGAGUGUGUCAGAGGAUGGUGGAAUUCCCGGUGUAGCGGUGAAAUGCGCAGAUAUCAGGAGGAACACCGGUGGCGAAGGCGGGUCUCUGGGCAACAACUGACGCUGAGGAGCGAAAGCGUGGGGAGCGAACAGG